AAAAAAAAAAAGAAGAAGCAGAAAUAUAAAUAAAUAAAAGGUGCCAUAUACAAGAAGACCAAAAUAAUCUUCCAACAUGGAUCAUCCUUCGAACGAAGAGAAAAGGACUCGUGUUGGGUUAGUUGAAGGAAGGUAACACAACAGGAAGAAAAUCGGUUGAACGAUUCUCGAAAACGAGGAUAGAAUAGUAGUACACCAUCGAAUAAAACGGGGUGGUGAACAAAAAAGAAAGAGGGUGAGAAGAAGUAGGAGGAAGGACAUGACCAUUCACGUGGAAGAUCAACUGACGCGAAAGUAAGAAAUAAAAGGAAAGAAAAGAAAUAAAUCAAGGAUAAAAAGAAGAUUUUCAGUUGCUGUACAACAUUGUCGUCGAACUUGUAAAAAAAAAAAAAAGAAAUAAAAAAUAAGAAGACGAAAAAUUGAAGAAGAAAUAAGAAUAAGUGUUUAUUGUGUAUCAGAAAGUGGUGAGUGGUGGGGAUAGCGGUGAGUGGUGGGAGUAGCGGCGAGUGGUGGGAGUAGCGGCGAGUGGUGGGAGUAGCGGCGAGUGGUGGGGACAGUGGUGAGUGGUGGGGAUAGUUUUCUUAUUGCUUCGUCGUGAUUGAUUCGUUAUAAAUCCGAGAGAAUUCAUUUUUUUUCUCCCUUGAAUAUAAAAAAAACCAUAAAAUGAGAUAGAAGAUACUUUGAUAAAGAAAGUAAGAAAGAAAAAGAGAAAGAGAGAGAGAGAAUACAUGCAAGCUUUUUCUUUUAUUCUCUCUGUUCUUAUUUCUCAUCUCGAGUAGACGAUGAAUUCGAUUUUGAUCUGUGAAAAAGCUCGAAAGCUUUCAUGAUAAAAUUGUGAGACUUUUACAUACUUAUUGACUUACUUUUUUUCUUUUUUCGUACGACGAGGUUAGAGUUCAGUGAGAAAGAAUAAAAAACGUGACACAUACACAGAAAGAGAGAGAGAGAGAGAAAGGGAGGAUUAGUUUUGUUGUUUCAUAACCUAAAAAACAGUGAGAAACUUGAUAA